rnacentral:misc_RNA from 1 species
GGGUCAGCUAUAUGGAUCAUUUUUCACCAUUUAGUUCUGUUAGAUACCAAGUGCACAUCAAUACACCAUUCAUAAUAUGUUUUAAAGUCCACAUGGUAAAAGGAUAAGAAUUAUAGACAAGGGGAAAAAAAGUAGAAUAGAAGUGUCAUGGUCUGAUGGAGAGGAUAAAGGUCUUCACCAUUUGUAUAGGUACAAUCCUAGUAGAAGUAGUUUACACAUAAAAGUUAAAAUUUUGGGCAAAUCCGAAGAAGGUUUUCCUAUAUGUUCAUUGCAAAAUAUUUCCAGAUCCCAAAUACUAAAUGCCAAAUAGAUGUUCAGUUCAUGAUUCAUGGGUUAUAUAUUCUUCAAAUUUCUACCAACCAUUAACGGCAUCGGGCCAUUAAUAUGUUUAAAGCUGAACUGCUUGAAGUUUACAGCAAGGUAUUAUCUCUAUUAUCUAAUACUGAGUCACUGCAAAAAUGGGCAAAAACUAUAAAAUUAGUCAAACACUUCCUUCAAAAAAUUACAAACCACAUCCCACUGCAUCCUCAACGUUCCAUUCACAAAUUUGUGUUUAUUUUUUGGGUAACAUAGUCCUACUCUUGAAUUCAAUAAGCUAAACUAAAACUAUAAAAUUUGCAGUUAUAUUUAGGAAAAAAAAUAGUCCAAAAUUUUGACCAUUACACAAGAUUUUUACAGACAUUUGGUAUGGCCCAAACAAAGUUGUAUACCACCAUUGUGUUUACAUUCAACAUUUCACAUCUUAAAUAUCUAUGAUCUUUGCAGCAAAAGAAAUAAAAAUAGAGAAAUUCUAAAACAGGCCACAAUACCCAUUUCAAAAUGAAAAAAUUAUUUACAAAUACACAUCAAUUCUUUCUCAAGCACAUCAUAUCACAAUACCUAUUUAACAAAAAGCGUAUCAAAAUCACAAUAUUCAUCUGACAAUAUGCAUAUCCCAAUACUCAUUUAACCAAUAAUGAAAAAAUAAAUUAAAAAGAAACAAUUCUAAUAAAAAAAAAUUAAAAU